rnacentral:tRNA from 1 species
GUUUUAAUAAUUUAAUUUAAAAUAUUGGUCUUGUAAACCAAAAAUAAGAAUGAUUCUUUUAAAACA